rnacentral:sRNA from 1 species
UUUCUUGAUAUUGUUGGAGCGUUUAAUA